rnacentral:rRNA from 1 species
GGGUUGUGAGGUUAAGCGACUAAGCGUACACGGUGGAUGCCCUGGCAGUCAGAGGCGAUGAAGGACGUGCUAAUCUGCGAUAAGCGUCGGUAAGGUGAUAUGAACCGUUAUAACCGGCGAUUUCCGAAUGGGGAAACCCAGUGUGUUUCGACACACUAUCAUUAACUGAAUCCAUAGGUUAAUGAGGCGAACCGGGGGAACUGAAACAUCUAAGUACCCCGAGGAAAAGAAAUCAACCGAGAUUCCCCCAGUAGCGGCGAGCGAACGGGGAGCAGCCCAGAGCCUGAAUCAGUAUGUGUGUUAGUGGAAGCGUCUGGAAAGGCGCGCGAUACAGGGUGACAGCCCCGUACACAAAAAUGCACAUGCUGUGAGCUCGAUGAGUAGGGCGGGACACGUGGUAUCCUGUCUGAAUAUGGGGGGACCAUCCUCCAAGGCUAAAUACUCCUGACUGACCGAUAGUGAACCAGUACCGUGAGGGAAAGGCGAAAAGAACCCCGGCGAGGGGAGUGAAAAAGAACCUGAAACCGUGUACGUACAAGCAGUGGGAGCACAGAGCAAUCUGUGUGACUGCGUACCUUUUGUAUAAUGGGUCAGCGACUUAUAUUCUGUAGCAAGGUUAACCGAAUAGGGGAGCCGAAGGGAAACCGAGUCUUAACUGGGCGUUAAGUUGCAGGGUAUAGACCCGAAACCCGGUGAUCUAGCCAUGGGCAGGUUGAAGGUUGGGUAACACUAACUGGAGGACCGAACCGACUAAUGUUGAAAAAUUAGCGGAUGACUUGUGGCUGGGGGUGAAAGGCCAAUCAAACCGGGAGAUAGCUGGUUCUCCCCGAAAGCUAUUUAGGUAGCGCCUCGUGAAUUCAUCUCCGGGGGUAGAGCACUGUUUCGGCAAGGGGGUCAUCCCGACUUACCAACCCGAUGCAAACUGCGAAUACCGGAGAAUGUUAUCACGGGAGACACACGGCGGGUGCUAACGUCCGUCGUGAAGAGGGAAACAACCCAGACCGCCAGCUAAGGUCCCAAAGUCAUGGUUAAGUGGGAAACGAUGUGGGAAGGCCCAGACAGCCAGGAUGUUGGCUUAGAAGCAGCCAUCAUUUAAAGAAAGCGUAAUAGCUCACUGGUCGAGUCGGCCUGCGCGGAAGAUGUAACGGGGCUAAACCAUGCACCGAAGCUGCGGCAGCGACGCUGAUGCGUUGUUGGGUAGGGGAGCGUUCUGUAAGCCUGUGAAGGUGUGCUGUGAGGCAUGCUGGAGGUAUCAGAAGUGCGAAUGCUGACAUAAGUAACGAUAAAGCGGGUGAAAAGCCCGCUCGCCGGAAGACCAAGGGUUCCUGUCCAACGUUAAUCGGGGCAGGGUGAGUCGACCCCUAAGGCGAGGCCGAAAGGCGUAGUCGAUGGGAAACAGGUUAAUAUUCCUGUACUUGGUGUUACUGCGAAGGGGGGACGGAGAAGGCUAUGUUGGCCGGGCGACGGUUGUCCCGGUUUAAGCGUGUAGGCUGGUUUUCCAGGCAAAUCCGGAAAACUAAGGCUGAGGCGUGAUGACGAGGCACUACGGUGCUGAAGCAACAAAUGCCCUGCUUCCAGGAAAAGCCUCUAAGCAUCAGGUAACAUCAAAUCGUACCCCAAACCGACACAGGUGGUCAGGUAGAGAAUACCAAGGCGCUUGAGAGAACUCGGGUGAAGGAACUAGGCAAAAUGGUGCCGUAACUUCGGGAGAAGGCACGCUGAUAUGUAGGUGAAGUCCCUCGCGGAUGGAGCUGAAAUCAGUCGAAGAUACCAGCUGGCUGCAACUGUUUAUUAAAAACACAGCACUGUGCAAACACGAAAGUGGACGUAUACGGUGUGACGCCUGCCCGGUGCCGGAAGGUUAAUUGAUGGGGUCAGCGCAAGCGAAGCUCUUGAUCGAAGCCCCGGUAAACGGCGGCCGUAACUAUAACGGUCCUAAGGUAGCGAAAUUCCUUGUCGGGUAAGUUCCGACCUGCACGAAUGGCGUAAUGAUGGCCAGGCUGUCUCCACCCGAGACUCAGUGAAAUUGAACUCGCUGUGAAGAUGCAGUGUACCCGCGGCAAGACGGAAAGACCCCGUGAACCUUUACUAUAGCUUGACACUGAACAUUGAGCCUUGAUGUGUAGGAUAGGUGGGAGGCUUUGAAGUGUGGACGCCAGUCUGCAUGGAGCCGACCUUGAAAUACCACCCUUUAAUGUUUGAUGUUCUAACGUUGACCCGUAAUCCGGGUUGCGGACAGUGUCUGGUGGGUAGUUUGACUGGGGCGGUCUCCUCCUAAAGAGUAACGGAGGAGCACGAAGGUUGGCUAAUCCUGGUCGGACAUCAGGAGGUUAGUGCAAUGGCAUAAGCCAGCUUGACUGCGAGCGUGACGGCGCGAGCAGGUGCGAAAGCAGGUCAUAGUGAUCCGGUGGUUCUGAAUGGAAGGGCCAUCGCUCAACGGAUAAAAGGUACUCCGGGGAUAACAGGCUGAUACCGCCCAAGAGUUCAUAUCGACGGCGGUGUUUGGCACCUCGAUGUCGGCUCAUCACAUCCUGGGGCUGAAGUAGGUCCCAAGGGUAUGGCUGUUCGCCAUUUAAAGUGGUACGCGAGCUGGGUUUAGAACGUCGUGAGACAGUUCGGUCCCUAUCUGCCGUGGGCGCUGGAGAACUGAGGGGGGCUGCUCCUAGUACGAGAGGACCGGAGUGGACGCAUCACUGGUGUUCGGGUUGUCAUGCCAAUGGCACUGCCCGGUAGCUAAAUGCGGAAGAGAUAAGUGCUGAAAGCAUCUAAGCACGAAACUUGCCCCGAGAUGAGUUCUCCCUGACUCCUUGAGAGUCCUGAAGGAACGUUGAAGACGACGACGUUGAUAGGCCGGAUGUGUAAGCGCAGCGAUGCGUUGAGCUAACCGGUACUAAUGAACCGUGAGGCUUAACCUUACAACGCCGAAGGUGUUU